rnacentral:lncRNA from 1 species
UCUGCACAGUAUCCAGGGACCUCAGACCCAGGGACAGCACCUGGCACACUUGCUGGGGGAGAAGACGCUGUGGUGGGUGGUGGCCCAUGAGUGUGUACAUGUGUGGUUGUCUGCGCAUGUGUGUGCAUGCCUGCACAUGGGCCUGCACAUGUAAGCGUGUUGUGUUCAACUGCACGUGUGUGCAGGUAUUGUUGCCUUGCCUGUCUGCACACACAUGUACCUGUGUGUUCAUUUCACACAUGUAUUGCUGGGAACAUGUGUGUACAUGGCUAUGCAUACAUGUGUAUGUGCCUGUGUGUUAGUGUAGGCCUGGAACCCACGUACACCCAGGGCAUGCGGGGCUGGAGAACAGGCGUGGCCAAGUUCACAGAUGGGCAGCUGCACGGACACUCAGGGCAUGUGGGGCUGGAGAACAGGCGUGGCCAAGCUCACAGAUGGGCAGCUGCACGGACACCCAGGGCAUGUGGGGCUGGAGAACAGGCGUGGCCAAGCUCACAGAUGGGCAGCUGCGCGGACACUCAGGGCACGUGGGGCUGGAGAACAGGCGUGGCCAAGCUCACAGAUGGGCAGCUGCGCGGACACCCAGGGCACGUGGGGCUGGAGAACAGGCGUGGCCAAGCUCACAGAUGGGCAGCUGCGCGGACACCCAGGGCACGUGGGGCUGGAGAACAGGCGUGGCCAAGCUCACAGAUGGGCAGCUGCACGGACACCCAGGGCACGUGGGGCUGGAGAACAGGCGUGGCCAAGCUCACAGAUGGGCAGCUGCACGGACACCCAGGGCAUGUGGGGCUGGAGAACAGGCG